AAGUCGUAACAAGGUUUCCGUAGGUGAACCUGCGGAAGGAUCAUUAAAUUCAGUAGCUUGCUACUGGCCGGGAGGCGCUGUAAGCCCGCAUAGUUUAAUUACUGAUGAGCGGCAGGCCCUCUGUCUGCACCCUUGUCUUUUGCGCACUCAUGUUUCCUCGGCGGGCUUGCCCGCCGGUUGGACAAAAUUAUAACCUUUUUUAAUUUUCAAUCAGCGUCUGAAAAAACCUUAAUAAUUACAA
rnacentral:misc_RNA from 1 species